UGGGGAAUUUUGGACAAUGGGCGAAAGCCUGAUCCAGCAAUGCCGCGUGUGUGAAGAAGGCCUUCGGGUUGUAAAGCACUUUUGUCCGGAAAGAAAUCCUUGGCUCUAAUACAGUCGGGGGAUGACGGUACCGGAAGAAUAAGCACCGGCUAACUACGUGCCAGCAGCCGCGGUAAUACGUAGGGUGCAAGCGUUAAUCGGAAUUACUGGGCGUAAAGCGUGCGCAGGCGGUUUGCUAAGACCGAUGCGAAAUCCCCGGGCUCAACCUGGGAACUGCAUUGGUGACUGGCAGGCUAGAGUAUGGCAGAGGGGGGUAGAAUUCCACGUGUAGCAGUGAAAUGCGUAGAGAUGUGGAGGAAUACCGAUGGCGAAGGCAGCCCUCUGGGCCAAUACUGACGCUCAUGCACGAAAGCGUGGGGAGCAAACAGGAUUAGAUACCCUGGUAGUCCACGCCCUAAACGAUGUCAACUAGUUGUUGGGGAUUCAUUUCCUUAGUAACGUAGCUAACNGUGAAGUUGACCGCCUGGGGAGUAACGGUCG
rnacentral:rRNA from 1 species